CUCACCCUUCACGGAGCCACAAUGGGUUUCUCCAGGAGGGUGUCUGCUCGGAUUUGCAGUCGGAGAGUCGCAGGGCCUGCAGUGCGAGAGUGUGGCCCACAGGCAGUGUUAUAUUGGCUUCAGGCACGAUGGUGAAGACUUACCUGCGCACCUCAGGUCUGCGUUACCCGAGUAUUGGAAUGAUGCUACGGCGAGUAUUGUUGUGGUCGUGAUGCCUGGAAGCACAGCAGCCACCUUGAGGCCAAGAGGACAAAAGCCACCCGGCUAAAGAUGAUGGCAGAGGGGCGCCUGGGUGGCUCAGCUGGUUGAGCGUCUGACUUCAGCUCAGGUGA